GACGAACGCUGGCGGCGUGCUUAACACAUGCAAGUCGAACGAUGAAAUGGAGCUUGCUCCAUGGAUUAGUGGCGAACGGGUGAGUAACACGUGAAUAACCUGCCCUUAAUUUUGGAAUAACCCAGGGAAACCUGGGCUAAUACCGGAUAAGUAAACCUGUGGCAUCACAUGGUUUUGGAAAGUUUUUCGAUUAAGGAUGGAUUCGCGGCCUAUCAGCUUGUGGGUGAGGUAAUGGCUCACCAAGGCGACGACGGGUAGCCGGCCUGAGAGGGUGAGCGGCCAAGCUGGGACUGAGGCACGGCCCAGACUCCUACGGGAGGCAGCAGUGGUUAAUAUUGCGCAAUGGACGAAAGUCUGACGCAGCGACGCCUCGUGAGGGACGAAGGUCUUCGGAUUGUAAACCUCGUUCAGCAGGGACGAAGCGAAAGUGACGGUACCUGCAGAAGAAGCACCGGCUAACUAUGUGCCAGCAGCCGCCGUAA
rnacentral:rRNA from 1 species